rnacentral:rRNA from 1 species
ACAUGACAGUCAAUUUUUUCGAGAGUUUGAUCCUGGCUCAGGAUGAACGCUGGCUGUGUGCCUAAUACAUGCAUGUCGAGCGGAGUUCUUCGGAACUUAGCGGCGAAUGGGUGAGUAACACGUACUUAACAUGCCCUCUAGAUUGGAAUAACGAUUAGAAAUGAUCGCUAAUGCCGGAUACUUAUAUCUUUCGCAUGAAGGAUAUAUAAAAGGAGCGUUUGCUUCGCUAGAGGAUUGGGGUGCGUAACAUUAGCUAGUUGGUAGGGUAAUGGCCUACCAAGGCUAUGAUGUUUAGCGGGGUUGAGAGACUGAUCCGCCACACUGGGACUGAGAUACGGCCCAGACUCCUACGGGAGGCAGUAGUAGGGAAUUUUCCACAAUGGACGAAAGUCUGAUGGAGCGACACAGCGUGCAGGAUGACGGCCUUCGGGUUGUAAACUGCUGUUAUAAGGGAAGAAAAAAUAAAGUAGGAAAUGACUUUAUCUUGACGGUACCUUGUCAGAAAGCAACGGCUAACUAUGUGCCAGCAGCCGCGGUAAUACAUAGGUUGCAAGCGUUAUCCGGAAUUAUUGGGCGUAAAGCGUCUGUAGGUUGUUUGUUAAGUCUGACGUGAAAACUUGGGGCUCAACCCCAAAUUGCGUUGGAUACUGGCAAACUAGAGUUAUGAAGAGGUUAGCGGAAUUCCUUGUGAAGCGGUGAAAUGCGUAGAUAUAAGGAAGAACACCAACUUGGCGAAGGCAGCUAACUGGGCAUACACUGACACUGAGAGACGAAAGCGUGGGGAGCAAACAGGAUUAGAUACCCUGGUAGUCCACGCUGUAAACGAUGAUGAUUAGCUGAUGGGGAACUCAUCGGCACAGCUAACGCAUUAAAUCAUCCGCCUGAGUAGUAUGCUCGCAAGAGUGAAACUUAAAGGAAUUGACGGGGAUCCGCACAAGCGGUGGAGCAUGUGGUUUAAUUUGAAGAUACGCGUAGAACCUUACCCACUCUUGACAUCUUCCGCAAAGCUAUAGAGAUAUAGUGGAGGCUAACGGAAUGACAGAUGGUGCAUGGUUGUCGUCAGCUCGUGUCGUGAGAUGUUCGGUUAAGUCCUGCAACGAGCGCAACCCUUGUCCUUAGUUAAAUGUUCUAAGGAGACUGCCCGAGUAAUUGGGAGGAAGGUGGGGACGACGUCAAAUCAUCAUGCCUCUUACGAGGGGGGCAACACACGUGCUACAAUGGACGGUACAAAGAGACGCAAUACGGCGACGUGGAGCAAAUCUCAAAAAACCGUUCUCAGUUCGGAUUGUAGUCUGCAACUCGACUACAUGAAGUCGGAAUCGCUAGUAAUCGUAGAUCAGCUACGCUACGGUGAAUACGUUCUCGGGUCUUGUACACACCGCCCGUCACACCAUGGGAGCUGGUAAUGCCCGAAGUCGGUUUUGUUAACUACGGAGACAACUGCCUAAGGCAGGACUGGUGACUGGGGUGAAGUCGUAACAAGGUAUCCCUACGAGAACGUGGGGAUGGAUUACCUCCUUUCUA